GAGUUUGAUCAUGGCUCAGGAUGAACGCUAGCGGGAGGCCUAACACAUGCAAGCCGAGCGGUAUAGAAUCUUCGGAUUUUAGAGAGCGGCGUACGGGUGCGGAACACGUGUGCAACCUACCUUUAUCUUGGGGAUAGCCUUUCGAAAGGAAGAUUAAUACCCGAUAAUAUAUAAUAUGGCAUCAUAACAUAUUGAAAGCUCCGGCGGAUAGAGAUGGGCACGCGCAAGAUUAGUUAGUUGGUGAGGUAACGGCUCACCAAGACGAUGAUCUUUAGGGGGGCCUGAGAGGGUGAUCCCCACACUGGUACUGAGACACGGACCAGACUCCUACGGGAGGCAGCAGUGAGGAAUAUUGGACAAUGGGUGCAAGCCUGAUCCAGCCAUCCCGCGUGAAGGACGACUGCCCUAUGGGUUGUAAACUUCUUUUGUAUAGGGAUAAACCUCUCCUCGUGAGGAGAGCUGAAGGUACUAUACGAAUAAGCACCGGCUAACUCCGUG
rnacentral:rRNA from 1 species